AUUGAACGCUGGCGGCAGGCCUAACACAUGCAAGUCGAGCGGAUGAAGGGAGCUUGCUCCUGGAUUCAGCGGCGGACGGGUGAGUAAUGCCUAGGAAUCUGCCUGGUAGUGGGGGAUAACGUCCGGAAACGGGCGCUAAUACCGCAUACGUCCUGAGGGAGAAAGUGGGGGAUCUUCGGACCUCACGCUAUCAGAUGAGCCUAGGUCGGAUUAGCUAGUUGGUGGGGUAAAGGCCUACCAAGGCGACGAUCCGUAACUGGUCUGAGAGGAUGAUCAGUCAAAACUGAACUGAGAACAGGGUCAGACUCCUAAGGGAGGCAGCAGGGGGGAAAAUUGGACAAUGGGGGGAAGCCUUAUUCAGGCAAGGCGGGGGGGGGAAGAAGGGCCUCCGAUUGGAAAGGACUUUAAGUUGGGAGGAAGGGCAGUUAGGUAAAACCUUGGUGGUUUGAAGGUACCAACAGAAUAAGCACCGGCUAACUUCGUG
rnacentral:rRNA from 1 species